rnacentral:misc_RNA from 1 species
GGAACUUUCUAUGGUUGAAUCAUGCAGCUACUUUUCUCACUACAACUUUACUCCUACCUAGCAGAGAUACUGAAUGCAUACUGCACGUAAGUUGACACUGAAAAUUGACAGCAGUUUAGAAUCAGCCUAGUUGAUAUUCAGGAAGAAAACCCAGUUAGUACCCAGGCUGCCAUUUUCCUUGAAAAUUUCCUUUCUCCAGAAUGACCGAGUCUUUAGUCAUGUGGAUAGAGUGCGGGCUUAAAGUGCCAUAUCAAUUUUCAGUGUCAACUUACGUGCAGU